UAUAUAUAUAUAUAUAUAUAUAUAUAUAUAUAUGUAUACUUGAGUAGUAUUAGUUAUGUGCUUGAAAUUUAAAGAAUUUGGCGGUAUUUUAGUCUUUUCAGAGGAACCUGUUCUGUAAUUGAUAUUCCACGAUUAAUUAUACUUAUAUUAAAGGUUUAUAUAUCGUCGUCAGUUGAAUGUUUUAGAAGAAUAUUAAAUGUUCAAGAUUUUUAAUAAUAAAGUAAAUCAGAUCAAGGUGUAGCUUAUGUAUGAGUAGAGAUGGGUUACAAUAAAUAUAUUUAAAUGGUUAAAAUAACUAACAUUGUUUUAUAAAUUGGAUUUGAACGUAAUAUAAUUAAGUUAAAUUAUAUGAUUUUAGCUCUAGAAUAUGUACAAUUCGCCCGUCGCUCCCCCAUUUUAAGAUGGGAUAAGUCGUAACAAGUAGGUGUACUGGAAGUGUACCUAGAUAGCAAUUGAGCCUGUUAUAAAGUAUUUUAUUUACCUUAAAGGUUAGGUUGUGUGAAUCAUUAGUUGAUAGGGAAUUUCUUAUUGAUUUUGAUUAUAAUAAGGUAUUAUUUUUAUUAAGUAUUUUAUUUAGAAAUAGUUUGUUUUAAUUAUAGGUUAUUAGUAUAGUGAUAGAUUUUUGAAAUAUUGUAAAUUUUAUUUUAUUAAAAGAAUAGUUAUUUUUUAGUACCUUGUGUAUCAGGGUUUAUUAAAAUUGUUUUAUUUAUUUAAUUUUCUCGAAUUUUUAAGAGUUAAUAAUUUGUAUAUUUAAUUGUAAUAUAAAUUUUUAUAAUAAAUUAUUAGUAAUGAAAUGUUAUACGUUUAAAAAUAUAUCUAGUUAUUUAAGAAAUAAAUUUAAUUUAUUUAUUUUAAUAUAUAUUUUUAAUUUUUUAAGAAUAUGUUUUUAAUAUUAAAUAUUUUAAGGGAUAAGCUUUAAAAUAGAAUAUUAUAAAUUAUUAUUGUAUAGAAAAAAUAUAGAAUUAGUAAUUUUAAUUUUUUAGUUUGUUAUAAUUAAUUUUUUUUUUAUAUGAUUUAUAUUAGUUUUAAUUUUUAUAUUAAAAUAUUUUAUAUAAUUUAAUUAUAUAUGUAAUAAUGAUAAAAUUAGUAUAUAUUAUUAUAUUUUUAAGGUAAAAAUAAUAGGUUAGGUUAAGGAAUUCAGCAAAUUAGUUUUUCGCCUGUUUAUUAAAAACAUGUCUUUUUGAUUAUAAUUUAAAGUCUAAUCUGCCCACUGAGUAGUUGAAUGGCCGCGGUAUUUUGACCGUGCAAAGGUAGCAUAAUAAUUAGUUUUUUAAUUGAAAGCUGGAAUGAAGGAUUGGACGAGAAAAUGACUGUCUUAGUUUAAAUUAGUUAGAAUUUUAUUUUUAAGUUAAAAAGCUUAAAUUUUUUUAAAAGACGAGAAGACCCUAUAGAGUUUUAUAUUAAUUUUAAUUAUUAUUAUUUAGUUUGUUUGUUUAGCAAUUAUUAUUAUUAUUUUAUUGGGGUGAUAGGAAAAUUAAUAGAACUUUUUUUAUAUAAAUUCAUUAAUAUAUGUUUAAUUGAUCCAUUUUUUAUGAUUAUAAGAUUAAAUUACCUUAGGGAUAACAGCGUAAUUAUUUUUGAGAGUUCUUAUCGAAAUAAUAGUUUGCGACCUCGAUGUUGGAUUAAAAUUAACUUUUGGUGUAGGGGCUAAAAGGUUAGGUCUGUUCGACCUUUAAAAUUUUACAUGAUCUGAGUUCAAACCGGAGA
rnacentral:rRNA from 1 species